rnacentral:rRNA from 1 species
GUCUAUGGCCAUGCAACCCUGAACCAGUCCGAUACUGUCUGAUCUUGGAAGCUAAGCAGGGUCGGGCCUGGUUAGUACUCGGAUGAGAGACCACCUAGGAAGACCAGGUGCUGUAGGCA